rnacentral:rRNA from 1 species
UACGUAGGGUGCGAGCGUUAAUCGGAAUUACUGGGCGUAAAGCGUGCGCAGGCGGCUUGCUAAGACAGGUGUGAAAGCCCCGAGCUUAACUUGGGAAUGGCGCUUGUGACUGGCAGGCUGGAGUGUGGCAGAGGGAGGUGGAAUUCCACGUGUAGCAGUGAAAUGCGUAGAGAUGUGGAGGAACACCAAUGGCGAAGGCAGCCUCCUGGGCCAACACUGACGCUCAUGCACGAAAGCGUGGGGAGCAAACAGG